GACCAAAGGAUUGCCUAGUAACGGAGGAGUGAAGCGGCAACAAGCUCAAAUAUUGAAAUCUGGCUCGCGGGCCCGAGUUGUAAUUUGUAGAGGAUGCUUUGGAUGCGGUGCCCACCGAGUUCCCUGGAACGGGACACCAUAGAGGGUGAGAGCCCCGUCUGGUUGGAUGCCAAAUCUCUGUAAAGCUCCUUCGACGAGUCGAGUAGUUUGGGAAUGCUGCUCUAAAUGGGAGGUAUAUGUCUUCUAAAGCUAAAUACCGGCCAGAGACCGAUAGCGCACAAGUAGAGUGAUCGAAAGAUGAAAAGCACUUUGAAAAGAGAGUUAAAAAGUACGUGAAAUUGUUGACAGGGAAGCGUUUAUGACCAGACUUGGGCUUGGUUAAUCAUCUGGGGUUCUCCCCAGUGCACUUUUCCAGUCCAGGCCAGCAUCAGUUUUUCGCCGGGGGAUAAAGGCUUCGGGAAUGUGGCUCUCUCCGGGGAGUGUUAUAGCCCGUUGCGUAAUACCCUGGCGGGGGACUGAGUUCGCGCAUCUGCAAGGAUGCUGGCGUAUAUCACC
rnacentral:rRNA from 1 species